rnacentral:rRNA from 1 species
GACGAACGCUGGCGGCGUGCCUAAUACAUGCAAGUAGAACGCUGAAGAGAGGAGCUUGCUCUUCUUGGAUGAGUUGCGAACGGGUGAGUAACGCGUAGGUAACCUGCCUGGUAGCGGGGGAUAACUAUUGGAAACGAUAGCUAAUACCGCAUAAAAUGGAUUAUCGCAUGAUAAUCCAUUGAAAGGUGCAAAUGCAUCACUACCAGAUGGACCUGCGUUGUAUUAGCUAGUUGGUGGGGUAACGGCUCACCAAGGCGACGAUACAUAGCCGACCUGAGAGGGUGAUGGGCCACACUGGGACUGAGACACGGCCCAGACUCCUACGGGAGGCAGCAGUAGGGAAUCUUCGGCAAUGGACGGAAGUCUGACCGAGCAACGCCGCGUGAGUGAAGAAGGUUUUCGGAUCGUAAAGCUCUGUUGUAAGAGAAGAACGAGUGUGAGAGUGGAAAGUUCACACUGUGACGGUAUCUUACCAGAAAGGGACGGCUAACUACGUG